CCCCUCCAGGAAGAACUGCCGCUCAGGCUCUUCAAUACCAGGGGACAAUAUUCAGUCAUUCAGCAAAUAUGACGGCCUACUGCGUCCCGGCCCGGCCGGGUCCUAGGCGCCGGGAACCCGAUACUGCACCCCAAAACAAUGACCAUUGCCCGGUGUAGUGGACAUUCCAGAGACAGGACAAUAAACAAACAUAGAAGGUACACAAGACUGAAAGAAAUGUCCCGCUGAGCAUUAAAUCAGGGUGAUGUGAUGGAGAGUGAGUGGAUAGCUAAUUCGGACGGCUUGGUGAAGGGAGGCCUCACUGAGAGGUGCCACUGAGGCCGCGAUCUGGAGGCAGAGCUGGCGCCCCGGGCGAAGGUCGCUCCCCAGAAUUCGAAGCUUCGGUUUCCCUGCGGAGACUGGCUCCGGAUUGCUCACUUCACCAAGGCCAGAGGGAGCAGGUGCUGUGGGUCAUCCCGGAAGGGCUGCCCACCCACACCAGAGUGGUCCCUACCAGUCGGAGGCCAGGAGACUGAUGGGAGGGCGGGGACCCCCGCAGGGCCCCAGAUGCCCAGGUUCCAAUCCUACAGAGGGCAGUUCAGGGUGCGGCCUCUACAUGCAAGCGGAUCACAAAACCUGGAGCUGGAUUUGCCGGGGGUGCGGGCGUCGCGAUAUAUGAGCAGAAGGCCUGCUGAAGCCGAGCUUUAAAUCAACACCUGCGGCUCCAGUGGGUGCAGCCGCAGGGGCCCGUGGCCAGGCCAGGCGAAGCUACCGAGUUGAAGUGGAAAGUCUCUAAGUUGCUCCUGCCUCCUCUACUCGCGCCGUUGCCUCCAACCGCGAGCCAGCAUUGUUUUCAAUGUCAAAUCCAGGCAUUACCCCGCGAACCUUCGGGAUGGAACAACCAGGGCCCCAGGGACCCCGGGUUCGUAGGGGCCCGUUUCCUUAUUCUUGUUCGAAGUGGGCGCCGCCGCUACGCUCGCAGUGAAAGCCUCGGCCCUCCCAGCGUGCCGCCACAGCCUCCUUCCCUUCCUCCCCUCCCGCAGCCCUGGCCCCUGCAGCGACUUGGCUCUGGCUGUGCCUCACUGCGCCUGCCAACUGUCACACACUCCUCUGGGGCUGUCAAAGGAGGACGUCGGGUGCAAACAAGCCGGCGGCGACCGCAUACAGCCUGGGCAAAGAGGGACGGCUGGGGUGUCGUUUGACCUGUACGGAAUGAGAAAUUAGGUUUUAAAGAAGUGAAAUCGAAGUGCGAUAUUAUAUUUUUAAAUGUCAACUGUAUUAAAUCACCCCAUUUCCAUUCCAUCUUUAAAACCUGCAAUGGAUACCAAUCGCAGUUAAAAUAAAAGCGAAACUCCUGGUCUAAUUCUGGAUCCUCCUCUACACGUGCUAACGAAGCUUUGGCCACAGAGGCCUUCUUGCGGUUCCUGGAAGUCCGCAAGUUCUAUCCAGCAUUGUUAAACAUCCCUCUUGCAUGUUCCUUGCGCAAGAAUGAUUCCUUCUGCCUGGUAAUUUGCCUGCUGGUAUCUUCUUGUCCUCUAGGUCUCAACUCAAAUGUCACCUCUGCAGAGAGCCUUUCCCUGACCACACAACGGAAAAUAGCCACAAUCUCCUCUGUAAAGACUGGACCUUGCUUUUCUUCACAGCACUCAUCACUCUCUGAAACAAUGCUUCUGUUUGUUGUUUCAGUAUUAUCAAUCUCCCUCUCAAGAAUGAAAGCUCCAUGAAGGCAGGGUUAUUACCUUUUUAAGGGCUGUAUCCUAACCCAAGGGACAUUCAACGUGUGAAUUCCUUACAGAAAUAUGAACCUGAAAUGAUGUAUUGAAAGAAAGAAAUAUGGCAUAAUUCAACAGAGGGAGGCAUGAACUUUGAAGUGUGGGAAAUCAUAUGUGUAAAUACCUAAAGGAUUUGGAGACAUGACUUUGAUGAAUGAGAUUAAGUUUUCAGGGAGCAGACACUAUAACAGAUAGAUGAUGUAAAGCCUGUAAACGUAAAGGUUGUAAACCCUUACAUGCUGAAAUGAAAAAUAGUGACUCAUGGUUAAAUGGAAGAAAGGAGAUCAAUAACGAAUAUAAGUAAAACGAUGUUGCAGAGUAAAAAUGUGGCCAUUUUAAACAACCUUGUGUUUGGUAGAUAUCAAUGUUAAAUUGGAAAACUAACCUCCGGGAUUAUUUGGAGGUCCCCCUUACAGUUAGGAUGGAGUAAGCCCCCCAAAACAAAACAAAACAAAAAACCCCCAGGAACAUCCCUCCGAAAAUCAGGAUCUCUGAUUAUUUGAUUCUGUGGAACUUCAAAUAGACCUCAUGACACAGCCAGGAAUGAAAUGCACAAGGAUAUACAUGAAGUAGGACAAGA